rnacentral:rRNA from 1 species
AGGGAUCAUUACUGAGUUACCGCUCUAUAACCCUUUGUGAACAUACCUAACCGUUGCUUCGGCGGGCAGGGGAAGCCUCUCGCGGGCCUCCCCUCCCGGCGCCGGCCCCCACCACGGGGACGGGGCGCCCACCGGAGGAAACCAAACUCUAUUUACACGACGUCUCUUCUGAGUGGCACAAGCAAAUAAUUAAAACUUUUAACAACGGAUCUCUCGGUUCUGGCAUCGAUGAAGAACGCAGCGAAAUGCGAUAAGUAAUGUGAAUUGCAGAAUUCAGUGAAUCAUCGAAUCUUUGAACGCACAUUGCGCUCGCCAGCAUUCUGGCGAGCAUGCCUGUUCGAGCGUCAUUUCAACCCUCAAGCACCGCUUGGUUUUGGGGCCCCACGGCACACGUGGGCCCUUAAAGGUAGUGGCGGACUCUCCCGGAGCCUCCUUUGCGUAGUAACUAACGUCUCGCACUGGGAUCCGGAGGGACUCUUGCCGUAAAACCCCCAAAUUUUUUACAGGUUGACCUCGGAUCAGGUAGGAAUACCCGCUGAA